UAAGUAGGGGGCAAGCGUUGUCCGGAAUUAUUGGGCGUAAAGCGCGCGCAGGCGGUUCCUUAAGGCUGAUGUGAAAGGCCACGGCUCAACCGUGGAGGGUCAUUGGAAACUGGGGAACUUGAGGACAGAAGAGGAGAGUGGAAUUCCACGUGUAGCGGUGAAAUGCGUAGAUAUGUGGAGGAACACCAGUGGCGAAGGCGACUCUCUGGUCUGUCUCUGACGCUGAGGUGCGAAAGCGUGGGUAGCAAACAGG
rnacentral:rRNA from 1 species